GGAUCCAGACUUUGAUCCUGGCUCAGGAUGAACGCUGGCGGCGCACUUAAGACAUGCAAGUCGAACGAAAAUUUACGCUUAAAGAGUUGAUUAGUUUACUAAGAGAUGAUUUAUUGUAAAUUUUAGUGGCGGACUGGUGAGUAAUACAUAGGUAAUCUGCCUUUUAGAGGGGAAUAACUAGGAGAAAUCCUAGCUAAUACCGCGUAAGACCACACUUAGGCAUCUAAGAGAGGUCAAAGGAGUAAUCCGCUAAAAGAUGAGCCUGUGGCUGAUUAGUUAGUUGGUGGGGUAAGAGCCUACCAAGACGAUGAUCAGUAGCCGAGCUGAGAGGCUGGCCGGCCACAUUGGGACUGAGAUACGGCCCAGACUCCUACGGGAGGCAGCAGUUGGGAAUAUUGGACAAUGGAGGAAACUCUGAUCCAGUGACGCCGCGUGAAGGAAGAAGGUCUUCGGAUUGUAAACUUAUUUUAUCAGGGAAGAAGAAAGUGACAGUACCUGAAGAAAAAGGACCGGCAAACUACGUGCCAGCAGCCGCGGUAAUACGUAGGGUCCAAGCGUUAUCCGGAUUUACUGGGUGUAAAGGGCGAGUAGACGGCGCUGUAAGUCAGCUGUGAAAACUUAGGGCUCAACCUUAAGCCUGCAGCUGAAACUGUAGUGCUAGAGUGCAGGAGAGGUAAGCGGAAUUCCUAGUGUAGCGGUGAAAUGCGUAGAUAUUAGGAGGAACACCAGUGGCGAAGGCGGCUUACUGGACUGUAACUGACGUUGAGGCGCGAAAGUGUGGGGAGCAAACAGGAUUAGAUACCCUGGUAGUCCACACCGUAAACGAUGGAUACUAGGUGUAGGCGAGAUAUCGUCUGUGCCGGCGCAAACGCAAUAAGUAUCCCACCUGGGGAGUACGGCCGCAGGGUUGCAACUCAAAGGAAUUGACGAAGGGCGAAUUCGCG
rnacentral:rRNA from 1 species